rnacentral:rRNA from 1 species
AUUGAACGCUGGCGGCAGGCUUAACACAUGCAAGUCGAGCGAGCGGCGGACGGGUGCGUAAUGUCUGGGAAACUGCCUGAUGGAGGGGGAUAACUACUGGAAACGGUAGCUAAUACCGCAUACCAUCAGACGUGCCCAGAUGGGUUUAGAUAGUCGGUGGGGUAAUGGCUCACCUAGGCGACGAUCACUAGCUGGUCUGAGAGGCUGACCAGCCACACUGGAACUGAGACACGGGCCAGACUCCGACGGUAGGCAGCAGGGGGGAAUAUUGCACAAUGGGCGCAAGCCUGAUGCAGCCAUGCCGCGUGUGUGAAGAAGGCCUUCGGGUUGUAAAGCACUUGCAGCGAGGAGGCGUUACUCGCAGAAGAAGCACCGGCUAACUCCGUGCCAGCAGCCGCGGUAAUUC